rnacentral:tRNA from 1 species
GCUUUCUUAGUAUAACUAAGUAUAAUUGCCUUCCAAGCAAUGGGAUUAAAAUAACAUUUAAAGAAAGUA